rnacentral:rRNA from 1 species
ACGAACGCUGGCGGCGUGCUUAACACAUGCAAGUCGAACGGUGAAGCGCCUUCCUUUUUGGUGGGUGUGGAUGAGUGGCGAACGGGUGAGUAACACGUGAGUAACCUGCCCCCUUCUUCUGGAUAACCGCAUGAAAGUGUGGCUAAUACGGGAUAUUCUGGGUCUGUCGCAUGAUGGGUCUGGGAAAGAUAUUGUUUCGGUGGGGGAUGGGCUCGCGGCCUAUCAGCUUGUUGGUGGGGUGAUGGCCUACCAAGGCGGUGACGGGUAGCCGGCCUGAGAGGGUGGACGGUCCCACUGGGACUGAGACACGGCCCAGACUGCUACGGGAGGCAGCAGUGGGGAAUAUUGCACAAUGGGCGCAAGCCUGAUGCAGCGACGCCGCGUGAGGGAUGGAGGCCUGCGGGUUGUGAACCUCUUUCGCCAGUGAAGCAGGCCUGCCUCGUUUGUGGGUGGGUUGACGGUAGCUGGAGAAGAAGCGCCGGCUAACUACGUG